UACGUAGGGGGCAAGCGUUGUCCGGAGUUACUGGGCGUAAAGCGUGCGCAGGCGGUUUUGUAAGCCAGGUGUGAAAUCCCCGGGCUCAACCUGGGAAUGGCAUUUGGGACUGCAAGGCUGGAGUGCGGCAGAGGAGACUGGAAUUCCUGGUGUAGCAGUGAAAUGCGUAGAUAUCAGGAGGAACACCGGUGGCGAAGGCGGGUCUCUGGGCCGAUACUGACGCUGAGGAGCGAAAGCGUGGGGAGCGAACAGG
rnacentral:rRNA from 1 species